GACGCUCGUCACCUUGUGCUCUGACUAUCUCUCGAACUCCGUGGAAAAAGCCUUUAUACUUGGGGUUCGCCGACGUCUGGUCGUGGAUGAAUUUCACCUUGAGAGAUAAGUAGGACUUUAGAUUAGAGUCGCGUGCAGCAGACAGAGCAGCCUGGUCUGCGUGGAAAGCUUCGAAUGCAGGCAGAACAAGACGAGUCAGGGACAGUAGAGUCGUGCCAACUCUGACUCUACAACGUCACUGAUGAGAGGAGGAAAGAGGCGGCGCAAGGAAGGAGGAGGAGGAGUAUCAUGGAUGGAAGGAAAGGUCAAAAGCUCUUCGGCCUUGACAGCACUGUGACAACUCGGGAUGUUGAGCAAUCAGGUCCAUAAAGAAGAACUGUCCAGAAGUCAGACUCCAUUAGAGGAUAUUUCCAGCCAUUUAAAGGCGUAAAUGACGAG